rnacentral:rRNA from 1 species
GAUGAACGCUGGCGGCGUGCCUAAUACAUGCAAGUCGAGCGAAAAGACGAGGCGCUUGCUCCUCUGACGUUAGCGGCGGACGGGUGAGUAACACGUGGAUCACCUACCUAUCAGACUGGGAUCACUUCGGGACACCGGCGCUAAUCCCGGAUAAUCUCUUGAACCGCAUGGUUCGUUAGUGAGUGACGGUUUUGCUGUCACUUCUAGAUGGAUCCGCGCCGCAUUAGGUAGUUGUUAAGGUAAAGGCUUACCAAGGCAACGAUGCGUAGCCGACCUGAGGGGGUGAUCGGCGACACGGGAACGGAGACACGGUCCAGACUCCUACGGGAGGCAGCAGUAGGGAAUCGGCCGCAAUGGGCGAAAGCCUGACGGAGCAACGCCGCGUGAGUGAUGAAGGUCUUCGGAUCGUAAAACUCUGUUAUUAGGGAAGAACAAAUGUGUAAGUAACUAUGCACGUCUUGACGGUACCUAAUCAGAAAGCCACGGCUAACUACGUG